rnacentral:rRNA from 1 species
GGUUAAGCGACUAAGCGUACACGGUGGAUGCCCUGGCAGUCAGAGGCGAUGAAGGACGUGCUAAUCUGCGAUAAGCGUCGGUAAGGUGAUAUGAACCGUUAUAACCGGCGAUUUCCGAAUGGGGAAACCCAGUGUGUUUCGACACACUAUCAUUAACUGAAUCCAUAGGUUAAUGAGGCGAACCGGGGGAACUGAAACAUCUAAGUACCCCGAGGAAAAGAAAUCAACCGAGAUUCCCCCAGUAGCGGCGAGCGAAUGGGGAGCAGCCCAGAGCCUGAAUCAGUGUGUGUGUUAGUGGAAGCGUCUGGAAAGGCGCGCGAUACAGGGUGACAGCCCCGUACACAAAAAUGCACAUGCUGUGAGCUCGAUGAGUAGGGCGGGACACGUGGUAUCCUGUCUGAAUAUGGGGGGACCAUCCUCCAAGGCUAAAUACUCCUGACUGACCGAUAGUGAACCAGUACCGUGAGGGAAAGGCGAAAAGAACCCCGGCGAGGGGAGUGAAAAAGAACCUGAAACCGUGUACGUACAAGCAGUGGGAGCACGCUUAGGCGUGUGACUGCGUACCUUUUGUAUAAUGGGUCAGCGACUUAUAUUCUGUAGCAAGGUUAACCGAAUAGGGGAGCCGAAGGGAAACCGAGUCUUAACUGGGCGUUAAGUUGCAGGGUAUAGACCCGAAACCCGGUGAUCUAGCCAUGGGCAGGUUGAAGGUUGGGUAACACUAACUGGAGGACCGAACCGACUAAUGUUGAAAAAUUAGCGGAUGACUUGUGGCUGGGGGUGAAAGGCCAAUCAAACCGGGAGAUAGCUGGUUCUCCCCGAAAGCUAUUUAGGUAGCGCCUCGUGAAUUCAUCUCCGGGGGUAGAGCACUGUUUCGGCAAGGGGGUCAUCCCGACUUACCAACCCGAUGCAAACUGCGAAUACCGGAGAAUGUUAUCACGGGAGACACACGGCGGGUGCUAACGUCCGUCGUGAAGAGGGAAACAACCCAGACCGCCAGCUAAGGUCCCAAAGUCAUGGUUAAGUGGGAAACGAUGUGGGAAGGCCCAGACAGCCAGGAUGUUGGCUUAGAAGCAGCCAUCAUUUAAAGAAAGCGUAAUAGCUCACUGGUCGAGUCGGCCUGCGCGGAAGAUGUAACGGGGCUAAACCAUGCACCGAAGCUGCGGCAGCGACGCUUAUGCGUUGUUGGGUAGGGGAGCGUUCUGUAAGCCUGUGAAGGUGUGCUGUGAGGCAUGCUGGAGGUAUCAGAAGUGCGAAUGCUGACAUAAGUAACGAUAAAGCGGGUGAAAAGCCCGCUCGCCGGAAGACCAAGGGUUCCUGUCCAACGUUAAUCGGGGCAGGGUGAGUCGACCCCUAAGGCGAGGCCGAAAGGCGUAGUCGAUGGGAAACAGGUUAAUAUUCCUGUACUUGGUGUUACUGCGAAGGGGGGACGGAGAAGGCUAUGUUGGCCGGGCGACGGUUGUCCCGGUUUAAGCGUGUAGGCUGGUUUUCCAGGCAAAUCCGGAAAAUCAAGGCUGAGGCGUGAUGACGAGGCACUACGGUGCUGAAGCAACAAAUGCCCUGCUUCCAGGAAAAGCCUCUAAGCAUCAGGUAACAUCAAAUCGUACCCCAAACCGACACAGGUGGUCAGGUAGAGAAUACCAAGGCGCUUGAGAGAACUCGGGUGAAGGAACUAGGCAAAAUGGUGCCGUAACUUCGGGAGAAGGCACGCUGAUAUGUAGGUGAAGUCCCUCGCGGAUGGAGCUGAAAUCAGUCGAAGAUACCAGCUGGCUGCAACUGUUUAUUAAAAACACAGCACUGUGCAAACACGAAAGUGGACGUAUACGGUGUGACGCCUGCCCGGUGCCGGAAGGUUAAUUGAUGGGGUUAGCGGUAACGCGAAGCUCUUGAUCGAAGCCCCGGUAAACGGCGGCCGUAACUAUAACGGUCCUAAGGUAGCGAAAUUCCUUGUCGGGUAAGUUCCGACCUGCACGAAUGGCGUAAUGAUGGCCAGGCUGUCUCCACCCGAGACUCAGUGAAAUUGAACUCGCUGUGAAGAUGCAGUGUACCCGCGGCAAGACGGAAAGACCCCGUGAACCUUUACUAUAGCUUGACACUGAACAUUGAGCCUUGAUGUGUAGGAUAGGUGGGAGGCUUUGAAGUGUGGACGCCAGUCUGCAUGGAGCCGACCUUGAAAUACCACCCUUUAAUGUUUGAUGUUCUAACGUGGACCCGUGAUCCGGGUUGCGGACAGUGUCUGGUGGGUAGUUUGACUGGGGCGGUCUCCUCCUAAAGAGUAACGGAGGAGCACGAAGGUUGGCUAAUCCUGGUCGGACAUCAGGAGGUUAGUGCAAUGGCAUAAGCCAGCUUGACUGCGAGCGUGACGGCGCGAGCAGGUGCGAAAGCAGGUCAUAGUGAUCCGGUGGUUCUGAAUGGAAGGGCCAUCGCUCAACGGAUAAAAGGUACUCCGGGGAUAACAGGCUGAUACCGCCCAAGAGUUCAUAUCGACGGCGGUGUUUGGCACCUCGAUGUCGGCUCAUCACAUCCUGGGGCUGAAGUAGGUCCCAAGGGUAUGGCUGUUCGCCAUUUAAAGUGGUACGCGAGCUGGGUUUAGAACGUCGUGAGACAGUUCGGUCCCUAUCUGCCGUGGGCGCUGGAGAACUGAGGGGGGCUGCUCCUAGUACGAGAGGACCGGAGUGGACGCAUCACUGGUGUUCGGGUUGUCAUGCCAAUGGCACUGCCCGGUAGCUAAAUGCGGAAGAGAUAAGUGCUGAAAGCAUCUAAGCACGAAACUUGCCCCGAGAUGAGUUCUCCCUGACCCUUUAAGGGUCCUGAAGGAACGUUGAAGACGACGACGUUGAUAGGCCGGGUGUGUAAGCGCAGCGAUGCGUUGAGCUAACCGGUACUAAUGAACCGUGAGGCUUAACCUU